AAGUUAUGAUCUGAACUUUUGUUUGCAGUUUUGUUGAUUUAUGAGGCUUGUGAUUACUUAUUUCGCUGGCUAAACGCAAAGAAUCGAAAUAAACAUACAUCAUUUUUUAUGGAUCGCUUGGUAUUUUGUUAGUGUUGAAUCUUAUAAUCAUGGCCCUGUAAUUUUGGUGGAUAGAGCACGGAUAGUUACAUUAUUUUGGUGGAUAAUCAUGGCCCUGUAAUUAUAGUGUUGCAAUGGGAGAGCGGAGGAGGGUGGUGAACAUCUGGAGGCGGCGACCGGAGGAGAGUUUCACGGGGAGCAUUGAUAAUUGGGUCUGGUCACUCGCGGUGUGAUUUGUGAGAAUUUCACGGGGAGCAAAUGAGGGGUUCAAAUUUUCUUUGAUGAAUGAGGGGUUGGGAUUUCAACAAGUUAUUCAGUAUCAAGGUUUUCAAACAAAUCAACCAGGUGACUAUACAUUUCCA